UUUGUAGAGGAUGCUUUUGGUGAGGUGCCUUCCGAGUUCCCUGGAACGGGACGCCAUAGAGGGUGAGAGCCCCGUCUGGUUGGACACCGAUCCUCUGUAAAGCUCCUUCGACGAGUCGAGUAGUUUGGGAAUGCUGCUCUAAAUGGGAGGUAUAUGUCUUCUAAAGCUAAAUACCGGCCAGAGACCGAUAGCGCACAAGUAGAGUGAUCGAAAGAUGAAAAGAACUUUGAAAAGAGAGUUAAAAAGUACGUGAAAUUGUUGAAAGGGAAGCGCUUGUGACCAGACUUGGGCUUGGUUGAUCAUCCGGGGUUCUCCCCGGUGCACUCUUCCGGCUCAGGCCAGCAUCAGUUCGCCCUGGGGGACAAAGGCUUCGGGAAUGUGGCUCUCUCCGGGGAGUGUUAUAGCCCGCUGCGUAAUACCCUGUGGCGGACUGAGGUUCGCGCAUUCGCAAGGAUGCUGGCGUAAUGG
rnacentral:rRNA from 1 species